rnacentral:ncRNA from 22 species
AGCGGGAACCCGGUGAGAGUCCGGGGCGGUCCCGCCGCCGUGACCGGGUCCGCGGGCCCGGGAGCCGGACCU